UGGGGAAUAUUGGACAAUGGGGGGAACCCUGAUCCAGCCAUGCCGCGUGUGUGAAGAAGGCCUUAUGGUUGUAAAGCACUUUAAGCGAGGAGGAGGGUACUGGUAUUAAUACUACCAGCUACUGGACGUUACUCGCAGAAUAAGCACCGGCUAACUCUGUGCCAGCAGCCGCGGUAAUACAGAGGGUGCGAGCGUUAAUCGGAUUUACUGGGCGUAAAGCGUGCGUAGGCGGCUAAUUGAGUCGGAUGUGAAAUCCCCGAGCUUAACUUGGGAAUUGCAUUCGAUACUGGUUAGCUAGAGUUUGGGAGAGGAUGGUAGAAUUCCAGGUGUAGCGGUGAAAUGCGUAGAGAUCUGGAGGAAUACCGAUGGCGAAGGCAGCCAUCUGGCCUAACACUGACGCUGAGGUACGAAAGCAUGGGGAGCAAACAGG
rnacentral:rRNA from 1 species